GGAAAAUCGAAAAACUACUUCCUUGAAAGAUUUCCUUUCAGAAAAAGUGCUAUCAUUUUAAAUCGAAAAGGAAUUGCUGGUAAAAAAGUUUGUACAACAAAUCAAAGGGUAUUUUGCGAUUAAAAUAGUCCGAGUGAGUGAUAGCUUGGGUCUCUAAGUAUACCCAAAAUGCAUUUGAUUUUCCUUGUUUAGGUAAAAGGGAAAAAAUUUCAAGUAAUUUUUUACAAAACACUAGUUUGUACUUGGAACCCCUAGGAAAAUAAAAGGCAUAAACUAGAUCACGACAAAU